rnacentral:rRNA from 1 species
AUUGAACGCUGGCGGCAUGCCUUACACAUGCAAGUCGAACGGUAACAGGUUAAGCUGACGAGUGGCGAACGGGUGAGUAAUGUAUCGGAACGUGCCCAGUCGUGGGGGAUAACUGCUCGAAAGAGCAGCUAAUACCGCAUACGACCUGAGGGUGAAAGCGGGGGGUCGCAAGACCUCGCGCGAUUGGCGCGGCCGAUAUCCGAUUAGGUAGUUGGUGAGGUAAAGGCUCACCAAGCCGACGAUCUGUAGCUGGUCUGAGAGGACGACCAGCCACACUGGGACUGAGACACGGCCCAGACUCCUACGGGAGGCAGCAGUGGGGAAUUUUGGACAAUGGGCGCAAGCCUGAUCCAGCCAUGCCGCGUGCGGGAAGAAGGCCUUCGAGUUGUAAACCGCUUUUGUCAGGGAAGAAAAGGUUCUGGCUAAUACCUGGGACUCAUGACGGUACCUGAAGAAUAAGCACCGGCUAACUACGUG